AACGUAGGAGACAAACGUUAUCCGGAGUUACUGGGCGUAAAGGGCGUGUAGGCGGUUUGUUAAGUCUGGCGUGAAAGCUCUCGGCUAAACCGGGAGAGGUCGUUGGAUACUGGCGAACUAGAGGAUGGUAGAGGCGUGUGGAAUUCCGGGUGUAGUGGUGAAAUGCGUAGAGAUCCGGAGGAACACCAGUGGCGAAGGCGACACGCUGGGCCAUACCUGACGCUAAAGCGCGAAAGCAUGGGGAGCAAACGGG
rnacentral:rRNA from 1 species